GACGAACGCUGGCGGCGUGCUUAACACAUGCAAGUCGAACGGAAAGGCGCUGCUCUUGUGGGGUGCUCGAUUGGCGAACGGGUGAGUAACACGCGAGUAUCCCGCCCUUGACUUUGGGAUAACUCCAGGAAACUGGGGCUAAUACCGGAUAGGAGCUCCUGCUGCACGGGGUGGGUUGGAAAGUUACGGCGGUUGGGGAUGGACUCGCGGCUUAUCAGCUGGUUAGUGGAGUAGUGGCUUACGAGGGCUUUGACGGGUAGCCGGCCUGGGAGGGGGACCGGCCACAUUGGGACUGAGGGACGGCCCAGUAUCCUACGGGAGGCAGUAGUCGGGAGUAUUGCAGAAUGGGGGGAAGCCUGAUGCGGCAACGCCGCGUGCGGGAUGCCGGCCUUCGGGUUAUAAACCGCUUUCGCCGGUGACGAAGCGUGAGUGACGGUAAUGGGUAAGGAAGCACCGGCUAACUACGUG
rnacentral:rRNA from 1 species